GAUGAACGCUGACAGAAUGCUUAACACAUCAGCAAUUGACUGUUGGCGGACGGGUGAGUAACGCGUAAAGAACUUGCCCCACAGGUAGGGACAACCUUAGGAAACGAAUGCUAAUACCUUAUCCUGUGUGAGAGCUUUGCGUACCAUUAGCUAGUUGGAGUGGUAACAGCUCACCAAGGCGAUGAUGGGUAUCCGGCCUGAGAGGGUGAUCGGCCACAAGGGGACUGGGACACGGCCCUUACUCAUACGGGAGGAAGCAGUGGGGAAUAUUGGACAAUGGACCAAAGUCUGAUCCAGCAAUUCGGGGUGCACGAUGAAUUUUUCGGAAUGUAAAGUGCUUUCAGUUGGGAAGCGGUACCAGCAGAAGAAGUGACGGCUAACUACGUGCCAGCAGCCGCGGUAAUAC
rnacentral:rRNA from 1 species